UAAAUGCUACGGCUCAAACAAGUAAACAAAAACGACAAAACUAAGAGCCAAUGCCUGUCAAAACUGUAAUGUAAUGGCAGGGAGUCAGCUUGCAAAAGGUUCAUUCUCUUAUGAAAAGCCCAUUUCUCUCUGUCCUCUGUGAGGGACGUCUGGGCUAGAAAUUCGAAGCACUAAUUUCCUGAGUUUGGAAACUCCUGGGAUUCAAAAGUGUCAGAAGGUCGAAAUACAGGACAGGUGAGGGAAGGCUUGUUAGCUUGAGGUGCCAAUUGGACUCUGGUGCUGAGGAUAUUUUGUAUUUAAUGAAAGGAUGAGAAGGGAAAAUAAACCCGGGAAAUGCUGAGUUAAAAGCUGGUGCAGCAGGAGAGCCUAGAGCAGAGCAAUCAUUAAAAGUCCUUUGGGGCUGGCUUCUUCAAAAGAGCUAACUAUGCUGGCUGAGGACAUGCCCCCUGGUUGCAUCCAGUUGGAGGGCGUUUAUUCUCCUGAGGAGACAGAAGUUCACAGCUGAGCUUACUUGUGCCCCAAUGUGAGGUUUUCCAAGGACCCUGAUGUGUGUGGAAGGUUGCCGCCAAUGCAGGCAAAAGACCCCGUAAACAGAGAUCUCAAGAACGCCUUUCCUUUGUGUGCUUGACUCUUUAUACAUUUCUGCUGGACUCAGAGCCAGUUUUCUUACCCGCCCAUCUCCUCCAUUGGUUUUUCUCUCUGAUGUGCUGGAUUUCUGAACACAGAGUCUCCAGCCAGGCCAGUAGCUGCUCUAUUCUUCAUGGCUUCCCAAGUUCCCGGGAGCAACACCCAGUGACAGGCCCCCGAAAACGCACUGGAGAUGGGGGCAGGAGGCAGUGCUGGUGAGGAGCCCCGGUCUUAAAGCAUCGAAAAUCGGUGCCUUUUAGGAUUCAAAUUGCGUUUUAAGUUUAUCUCGAUUUUAUCAUGAGUAAUAUGCUGAUAAAAAUUAAAACAAAUAUAGAAUAUAAAUUCUUCUCCUACAUCCUCCCCCAAUCUGAACAGUGAUUAUAGUCUUUUUCCACUGUCUUAUGCAUAUGUAAUCAUGUAUAUACAUACAUCUGUGCGCUCAUGUAAUUUUUGUAAAUUGAACUAUAGUUUACAAAAAAUAGACUGCACACAUUUUAAGUGUGCAAUUUAAUGAGUUUCAACAAAUGUAUGCUCCUGAGUGACCGUCACCCCAUGAAGAUACAGGACAUAUCCAUCUCCCAGAAAGUCCUCAUGGUCUGCCUACUCAGCUCCCCAGCCCGUCCUCACCGCCCACAGCCCCAGUACCAAGAUACGAUCACAUCUAACGUUUUAUAAAAGAUAGUAAGCUGGUAGUAUGAGACUUCGACUUUGAAUAAGAAUACAUAUCUCAAUGCUGGUUUUAUUCACUUUGGAAAUAUCUCUUGGUUCUCUGAUAUGAGAGAUGAAGAAUUUAGUAUUUUUAUACCACUCUCAACUCCUUUCCCUAUCUCCACCUCCAGUUGUGUUUUAAUUAAGGACAAUACCCUACCCUGGCAGCCUUUGGGACACAUCCCAUUGAUCAAAGUGAGAAACAAGUGGGUGAUACUUACCAGGACUCCAAGGCACAUAUGUCUGUUCAUAGGAAAAGAGACCAAUUUAAGACCCUCAGUG
ensembl:lncRNA